UACGAAGGGGGCUAGCGUUGCUCGGAAUCACUGGGCGUAAAGGGUGCGUAGGCGGGUCUUUAAGUCAGGGGUGAAAUCCUGGAGCUCAACUCCAGAACUGCCUUUGAUACUGAAGAUCUUGAGUUCGGGAGAGGUGAGUGGAACUGCGAGUGUAGAGGUGAAAUUCGUAGAUAUUCGCAAGAACACCGGUGGCGAAGGCGGCAUCCUGGACCGGCAUUGACGCUGAGGCGCGAAAGCCAGGG
rnacentral:rRNA from 1 species